UACGGAGGGUGCAAGCGUUGUCCGGAAUCACUGGGCGUAAAGGGCGCGUAGGCGGCCUGGUAAGUAGGGGGUGAAAUCCUGCGGCUUAACCGCAGGGCUGCCUUCUAAACUGUCAGGCUUGAGCACGGUAGAGGCAGAUGGAAUUCCCGGUGUAGCGGUGGAAUGCGUAGAGAUCGGGAAGAACAUCAGUGGCGAAGGCGGCUACCUGGACCGGUACUGACGCUGAGGCGCGAAAGCUAGGGUAGCAAACAGG
rnacentral:rRNA from 1 species